rnacentral:rRNA from 1 species
CACGGGGGAGCAAGCGUUGUUCGGAAUCACUGGGCGUAAAGGGCGUGUAGGCGGUUCGGUAAGUGGGAUGUGAAAUGCCCCGGCUCACCCGGGGACCGGCAUCCCAAACUGCCAGACUUGAGUAUGGGAGAGGAUGAGGGAAUUCCUGGUGUAGCGGUGAAAUGCGUAGAUAUCAGGAGGAACACCGGUGGCGAAGGCGCUCAUCUGGCCCAAUACUGACGCUGAUGCGCGAAAGCUAGGGGAGCAAACGGG